rnacentral:lncRNA from 1 species
AAAGGCAGCAAGCUUGGCAAGAGAGCAGUCUGCUUUCGAGGGGGCAGCGAAAGGAGAGGCACUACUGUUUGGUCUUUGUGAGUUGGAGGUUUUGUUUUGUGGCAGGACGCAAGCCUGUGUCCCUGCCCCUGUCCAAAUUGGGCUGUUACACUGCUCUCAUCAACAAAGGAAAGGCAAGUCCUCUCAAAGGGGUUUCCUUCUGCGUUCUUGCUUAGAAUUUGGCCUUUCAGCACUGGGCAACCUUCACCUCGUUAUCUAGGGAGACUCUUUCUGUCCAGUUUACCAAGGAAGGAAAGGUUGCAGCAAGGACUCUGCAGCGUUGGCUGCCAGCCGUCUGGGCCAGCAUGGAGAAUGGAGUGGUGCUGCAGAGCAAAGAGCCACUAGGACAACGUUCAGGAGAACUGGAUGGACUUGCACUGUCACUGGAAACAGGAACAAUGGCCAGUUCAGAAGGAGACUCAGAAAGGAUGGUGGAUGAGAGAAGGACGACCUCUGAAACAACAAACAAGCCUUGCAUUGUGAGUCCCCGAGAGCAAGCCAGGAGGGACAGCCAUGGGAGCAGGGAACUUGCUGUACACUUUGAAGACAGUGGUGAGAGCGAUGAAGGUUGGUGAGUGAGUCUUUGCUGUUGCUUUCCUUGUUUGCGCUCUUUCCCUUUGUGUGUUUCUGUCUCUUCUGUGCCGUUCUCUUUCUUUCCUUCUUCUGUUCUAAUGUUGUUUACAUCUUUCAGAUUCUCUGCUACACAUUUCCACCCCCCUCAUUUUUCUUUCUCCAGUUUAAUUCUUUCUCAUCUGCUCUCCCCCUUAAUUUUCUUUUUCUUUCCCCACUUUAAACCGUCCCCACCUUCAAAGAAUCAGCACUUCUUCUUUCACCCUCAAGAAGGAAGAUUCCCUCUACUGGUGACAGUUUGUGACUAGUGUGAGGGUCACCUUCCCUAACAUUUAGGGGUGAGGUUCCCUUGUCCAUAAGCCUCCCUAUGGAGCCAGAGGUUGACAGCUUGAUUCCCCGCUGUGCCUCCUGCAAUCAAGCCAGUCUGUGUGGCCUUGAGCAAACUGCACAGUCCCAGGGCACCCCCCCCCAAAGAAGGGAAUGGUAAACCACUUCUGAAUAUUCUUUACCUAGAAAACCCUGGAAAAGGUUGCCAUAAGUCAGAAUUGACUUGACGAUGCACCAAUUAUUAUUAUUUAAGCUGGCUCUAGUUUAUGCUUUGUUACCAUACUAAGGUUUCAUCUUUGUUUCUCUAGAUAUGGAUCCCUCUGAAGAUGGACUCAGCACCUCACUGAUGGAACUUUCUGUGCUGCAAAGACUGGGGCUGCAUAGGUUGGAAGCGUUUGGAUUUCUUGUGAGCUGGUAGAGCAAUAUAAAAUGUGGCAGUAUUCAAGGGAGAUGACAUUCCUUCUCAGGAGUGAGCACAUAGCCAUACUUUGGGUUGAAAUCAAUCCUUAGAGUAAGAUGUAUGUGGAUAUGGGUGUGGAGAGUGAGAGCAAGCGAGCAAGGGAGUAGGUCCAUGUGAAAUUUUACCAAAUUACUGCCAGAGCUGUAACCCCCCAUAACACUGGCACCAAAAUUCACCAAUGGCCCACAGUCUGAGUGAGAAGAGCUCAUCUUACAGUG